UCAGGAUGAACGCUGGCGGCGUGCUUAACACAUGCAAGUCGAACGAUGAACCUCACUUGUGGGGGGAUUAGUGGCGAACGGGUGAGUAACACGUGAGUAACCUGCCCUUGACUCUGGGAUAAGCCUGGGAAACUGGGUCUAAUACCGGAUAUGACCUUCCAUCGCAUGGUGGUUGGUGGAAAGCUUUUGUGGUUUUGGAUGGACUCGCGGCCUAUCAGCUUGUUGGUGGGGUAAUGGCCUACCAAGGCGACGACGGGUAGCCGGCCUGAGAGGGUGACCGGCCACACUGGGACUGAGACACGGCCCAGACUCCUACGGGAGGCAGCAGUGGGGAAUAUUGCACAAUGGGCGCAAGCCUGAUGCAGCGACGCCGCGUGAGGGAUGACGGCCUUCGGGUUGUAAACCUCUUUCAGUAGGGAAGAAGCGAGAGUGACGGUACCUGCAGAAGAG
rnacentral:rRNA from 2 species